rnacentral:tRNA from 1 species
AUUUAAGUAAUUUAAUAAAAAUUUUGAUUUGUGGUAUCAAAUAUAUAGAUUUUUCUAUCUUAAAUU